rnacentral:rRNA from 1 species
AACGAACGCUGGCGGCAGGCUUAACACAUGCAAGUCGAACGCCCCGCAAGGGGAGUGGCAGACGGGUGAGUAACGCGUGGGAAUCUACCCAGUUCUACGGAACAACUGAGGGAAACUUCAGCUAAUACCGUAUACGCCCUACGGGGAAGAUUUAUCGGAAUUGGAUGAGCCCGCGUUGGAUUAGCUAGUUGGUGAGGUAACGGCUCACCAAGGCGACGAUCCAUAGCUGGUCUGAGAGGAUGAUCAGCCACACUGGGACUGAGACACGGCCCAGACUCCUACGGGAGGCAGCAGUGGGGAAUAUUGGACAAUGGGCGCAAGCCUGAUCCAGCCAUGCCGCGUGAGUGAUGAAGGCCUUAGGGUUGUAAAGCUCUUUCAGUGGGGACGAUAAUGACGGUACCCACAGAAGGAGCCCCGGCUAACUUCGUGCCAGCAGCCGCGUAAGAGUGUCUGUA